rnacentral:rRNA from 1 species
AACGAACGCUAGCGGCAGGCUUAACACAUGCAAGUCGAACGCCCCGCAAGGGGAGUGGCAGACGGGUGAGUAACGCGUGGGAACAUACCCUUUUCUACGGAAUAGCUCUGGGAAACUGGAAUUAAUACCGUAUACGCCCUACGGGGGAAAGAUUUAUCGGGGAAGGAUUGGCCCGCGUUGGAUUAGCUAGUUGGUGGGGUAAAGGCCUACCAAGGCGACGAUCCAUAGCUGGUCUGAGAGGAUGAUCAGCCACAUUGGGACUGAGACACGGCCCAAACUCCUACGGGAGGCAGCAGUGGGGAAUAUUGGACAAUGGGCGCAAGCCUGAUCCAGCCAUGCCGCGUGAGUGAUGAAGGCCUUAGGGUUGUAAAGCUCUUUCACCGAUGAAGAUAAUGACGGUAGUCGGAGAAGAAGCCCCGGCUAACUUCGUGCCAGCCGCCGCAGUAAGAC